UACGAAGGGGGCUAGCGUUGCUCGGAAUCACUGGGCGUAAAGCGCACGUAGGCGGAUCUUUAAGUCAGGGGUGAAAUCCUGGAGCUCAACUCCAGAACUGCCUUUGAUACUGAGGAUCUCGAGUCCGGGAGAGGUGAGUGGAACUGCGAGUGUAGAGGUGAAAUUCGUAGAUAUUCGCAAGAACACCAGUGGCGAAGGCGGCUCACUGGCCCGGUACUGACGCUGAGGUGCGAAAGCGUGGGGAGCGAACAGG
rnacentral:rRNA from 1 species